CAGCAGCCACGGUAAUACGGAGGGUGCAAGCGUUAAUCGGAAUUACUGGGCGUAAAGCGCACGCAGGCGGUCUGUCAAGUCAGAUGUGAAAUCCCCGGGCUUAACCUGGGAACUGCAUUUGAAACUGGCAGGCUAGAGUCUUGUAGAGGGGGGUAGAAUUCCAGGUGUAGCGGUGAAAUGCGUAGAGAUCUGGAGGAAUACCGGUGGCGAAGGCGGCCCCCUGGACAAAGACUGACGCUCAGGUGCGAAAGCGUGGGGAGCAAACAGGAUUAGAGACCCGAGUAGUCCCUGUCUCUUAUAC
rnacentral:rRNA from 1 species